GAGACAGCAGCCGCCGCGGGAAAACGAAGGGUGCAAGCGUUACUCGGAAUUACUGGGCGUAAAGCGUGCGUAGGUGGUGGUUUAAGUCCGUUGUGAAAGCCCUGGGCUCAACCUGGGAAUUGCAGUGGAUACUGGGUCACUAGAGUGUGGUAGAGGAUAGUGGAAUUUCCGGUGUAGCAGUGAAAUGCGUAGAGAUCGGAAGGAACAUCUGUGGCGAAGGCGACUAUCUGGGCCAACACUGACACUGAGGCACGAAAGCGUGGGGAGCAAACAGGAUUAGAUACCCCAGUAGUCCCUGUCUCUUAUAC
rnacentral:rRNA from 1 species